UGGACCAAUGAUGAUAGUUACCAUGAACUCAGGAUUACGAUUUAUUGAAUUCUAUGCACUUGAGGUACAAA
rnacentral:snoRNA from 1 species